rnacentral:misc_RNA from 1 species
UUAAGUUCAGCGGGUAUCCCUACCUGAUCCGAGGUCAACCUGAAAAAAUUGGGGUUCUGGCGACCGCCUAAGAGGCCCAAAAGCGAGAAAGAUUACUACGCUUAGAGCCUAACAGACACUGCCACUGAUUUUAAGGGCCGCUAGAUAGCGAGCCCCAAGACCACAUUAGAUGUGAUGGGUUAUAAUGACGCUCGAACAGG